rnacentral:rRNA from 1 species
GACGAACGCUGGCGGCGUGCCUAAUACAUGCAAGUCGAGCGCAGGAAGCUGACGGAACUCUUCGGAGGGAAGGCAGUGGAAUGAGCGGCGGACGGGUGAGUAACACGUAAGGAACGUGCCUCAAGGAUUGGGAUAUCUCCGAGAAAUCGGAGCUAAUACCGGAUAGUUCAACGGACCGCAUGGUCCGCUGAUGAAAGGCCCUCCGGCGUCACCUUGAGAUGGCCUUGCGGUGCAUUAGCUAGUUGGUGGGGUAACGGCCCACCAAGGCGACGAUGCAUAGCCGACCUGAGAGGGUGAUCGGCCACACUGGGACUGAGACACGGCCCAGACUCCUACGGGAGGCAGCAGUAGGGAAUCUUCCACAAUGGACGAAAGUCUGAUGGAGCAACGCCGCGUGAGUGAUGAAGGUUUUCGGAUCGUAAAACUCUGUUGUAAGGGAAGAACACGUACGAGAGGAAAUGCUCGUACCUUGACGGUACCUUACGAGAAAGCCACGGCUAACUACGUGCCAGCAGCCGCGGUAACAC